UCUGGAGUUGUAAGCUGAAGAGGCUGUGACCGACGUGGGCCGGGUCCAAUUCCCUUGGAACAGGGAGUCAUGGAGGGUGAGAACCCCGUCUGUGACUCGGAUCCCAUCGUCCUAGUGUCGCGGUCUCCAAGAGUCGGGUUGUUUGGGAAUGCAGCUCAAAAUGGGUGGUAAAUCUCAUCUAAAGCUAAAUAUUGGCGAGAGACCGAUAGCAAACAAGUAGAGUGAUCGAAAGAUGAAAAGCACUUUGAAAAGAGAGUGAAACAGUACGUGAAAUUGUUGAAAGGGAAGCGUUUGGCAUCAGCCCAUGGCCUCCGACGAUCAUCCGGGCCUCGUGUCCGGUGCACUUGUCGGGGGUCGGGCCAGCAUCGGCU
rnacentral:rRNA from 1 species